rnacentral:rRNA from 1 species
AUUAACAAGUAAGUAAUAAAUAUAUUCUCACGAAGGAAGGUGAGCUAAACACCACAUAUGUGUAUUUGUAUACGUAGUAUAGUAUACAUAUAAUAUGUGUUUAGGAGUGAUAGGCUUUUCAAACAUUCUUAUAACUUGUUUCAUAUGAAAAGUAUUAAGUACCUAAACAAAUUUAAAAAGUUAAGCUUUUAAAUAAAUAUUAAAAAUAUUAUUCCCUUGUAGUGUAGUUUAAUAACUAUCUACAUUAAUAAUUAAACACUAAGUAUGAUAGAUUAUAUUUUAUAAUAUGACGCACACAGUUUUUGUUACGAGUCGAUAAUGUUAGUAUUAGUAGUAUUAAUAUAUGCGGUAAAGGAACUCGGCAAAUAACCGCUCAACUGUUUAUCAAAAACAUAGCUAUAUGGAUUAAUAUAUAGUUAUUUCUGCUCAAUGACUUAAAUAGCCGCAGUACUCUGACUGUGCAAAGGUAGCAUAAUCAGUUGGCUUUUAAUUAGAGUCUGGUAUGAACGAAAAUAUGGGUAGUAACUGUCUUAUCGCAUUUAUUUGAACUUAUUUAACAAGUGAAAAUACUUGUGCUUGACACAAUAGACGAGAAGACCCUAGAAACUUGAACAGGUUUUUGUUGGGGCGACAGAAUUACAUUCAACUAAUCUUAUACUACAUGACGCAAUGUUGAAAGAAUAAGUUACUCUAGGGAUAACAGCAUAAUUUCAUUAGUUUGUGACCUCGAUGUUGGAUUAGGUACUAUAUCCUUAAGGCAAGGGUAUAUUAUGCUCUGUUCGAGCAAAAAUACCUACAUGAUCUGAGUUCAGACCGG